rnacentral:lncRNA from 1 species
AACUCUUGUUCUCGUUUGAUCAAGCAAUGAAUGUUGAGAAAACUCUCAUGUAAACUCUCGCUUGUCAACUCUCAUGCAACUCUUGUUCUCGUUUGAUCAAGCAAUAGAAGUUGAGAAAACUCUCAUGUAAACUCUCGCUUCUCAUGCAACUCUUGUUCUCGUUUGAUCAAGCAAUAGAAGUUGAGAAAACUCUCAUGUAAACUCUCGCCUGUCAACUCUCAUGCAACUCUUGUUCUCGUUUGAUCAAGCAAUGAAAGUUGAGAAAACUCUCAUGUAAACUCUCGCUUGUCAA